UUUUAACAAGCCGGAAAUUUUUAUCAUGUUUUAUGCAACGAAAUUCAAUCCAUUUUACGUUGGCGAAUGUCCCCCUGGGCCAAUGUUAUGUCGACCCUUUCGCGGAGGCAGUUUGUCCAAUGGAUGCUCUUCACCUUGUAGAGGAUCUCGUUGUGGUUCUUGUAGUCCUUGUCAUUCAGGUUGUGCUUGGGGAUCCUGCAAUGGCGGUUGCUGCACUUCGACUGGCUGUGGCUGGUAAACAAAUACCAAAAGAGUGAAUCCACCGCCAUUAUGACUGAAUAAAAUUGUGUGAAUUUAAUUUCCUCUUAACAUUACAUUGCAUGCUGUACCAAUUUCUGACAAAUUAAAGUAAUAAAUUAU